rnacentral:rRNA from 1 species
UACGUAGGGGCUAGCGUUGUCCGGAUUUAUUGGGCGUAAAGAGCGUGUAGGCGGCCAGGUAGGUCUGCUGUGAAAACUCGGAGGCUCAACCUCGAGACGUCGGCGGAAACCAUCUCGGCUAGAGUCCGGAAGAGGAGAGUGGAAUUCCUGGUGGUAGCGGUGAAAUGCGCAGAUAUCAGGAAGAACACCCGUGGCGAAGGCGACUUCCUGGCCUGUUCUUGACGCUGAGGCGCGAAAGCUAGGGUAGCAAACGGG